GUCGAACGAAGCGCUUGAAUGGAAUAUCUUCGGAAGGAAGCUCAAGUGACUGAGUGGCGGACGGGUGAGUAACGCGUGGGUAACCUGCCUCAUACAGGGGGAUAACAGUUAGAAAUGACUGCUAAUACCGCAUAAGCACACGUGAUCGCAUGAUCGAGUGUGAAAAACUCCGGUGGUAUGAGAUGGACCCGCGUCUGAUUAGCUAGUUGGUGGGGUAACGGCCCACCAAGGCGACGAUCAGUAGCCGGCCUGAGAGGGUGAACGGCCACAUUGGGACUGAGACACGGCCCAAACUCCUACGGGAGGCAGCAGUGGGGAAUAUUGCACAAUGGGGGAAACCCUGAUGCAGCGACGCCGCGUGAAGGAUGAAGUAUUUCGGUAUGUAAACUUCUAUCAGCAGGGAAGAAAAUGACGGUACCUGACUAAGAAGCCCCGGCUAACUACGUGCCAGCAGCCGCGGUAAUACGUAGGGGGCAAGCGUUAUCCGGAUUUACUGGGUGUAAAGGGAGCGUAGACGGCAGUGCAAGUCUGAAGUGAAAGCCCGGGGCUCAACCCCGGGACUGCUUUGGAAACUGUGCAGCUAGAGUGUCGGAGAGGCAAGCGGAAUUCCUAGUGUAGCGGUGAAAUGCGUAGAUAUUAGGAGGAACACCAGUGGCGAAGGCGGCUUGCUGGACGAUGACUGACGUUG
rnacentral:rRNA from 1 species